rnacentral:rRNA from 1 species
GUAUGGAACUGGACCCGAUGGAGGGGGAUAACUACUGGAAACGGUAGCUAAUACCGCAUAACGUCGCAAGACCAAAGAGGGGGACCUUCGGGCCUCUUGCCAUCGGAUGUGCCCAGAUGGGAUUAGCUAGUAGGUGGGGUAACGGCUCACCUAGGCGACGAUCCCUAGCUGGUCUGAGAGGAUGACCAGCCACACUGGAACUGAGACACGGUCCAG